CGCCCUCGCCCUCGGUGGGCUCGAAACGACGCUGCAAACCCUCGGCCAGGCUCGCCCCCACGCCAUCGCCGUUGCGUCCUCUCCGAGCCGGCGUUGCAAAUCUCCGCGAUCCGCACGCCGACACCCUCUCCCUCCCUCGACGGCGCAUGGAUCUUCAAUCUCUCUCCGCUCUCGGCCGACCGCCCAAUGACGCUGGCCCGCGAACCCGCAAUGGCCGACCUCCAGUCGCGCGGAUCGGAGGGCCUCCGCUCACCGCGGAUCUCUGCGCUAUCUCCGCCCACGGCCGUCACCGUUUCGCGCCCCGGUGACCUCAUCUUCAACUUCCCGUAGGGCCACAUCGAGCAGGUACUCGCAUUCGCCAAUCCGCCUCCGCUUUCGCCUGCACCGUGCUUCUGCUCCUCAUGCCGCCCUCCUCGAUGCAGACACCUCCAGCUCCAGCCACCGGGGACGAGGACGCCAACGCCGCCAAAGUGAACUAGGCAAGGAUGGCCGGCUGCCGGCCAUGGUGUUCUGCGCUGCCAUGGACUCCGCGGCACGCAUGCCCCUGCGACUUGAUAUUGGAGCACCUCGCUCUUUCUGAUUUGGGAGACGAGGAGACGGAGUGGCAGUGGAGCUGCCAUUUAAAUCGACGGGAGACGAUGAGUUGGUGUGUAGCUGCUGCUGAUAUGCGCGCUCGAGAGGAGCUGCUGCUUGCUUGCAGUGAUGGAGGAAGAGAGAAGCUUGAGUGGCUGCAUGUUGCUUCCGUGAAGUUCAGAGGGAGAAGGUUUUCUUUUCCAAAACACAGUGGAAUUGUCGAAAAUGAUUGGAGCCUUGGAUGGAAAUGAGAACAUUAUGAUCGAGAUUAUUUAGACGUUGACAUGCAUUUCUACUGGCCAAAUUUUCUGCACUUGUACACCCCGGCUGAAGGAAUUGGUCAUUCGAUAGCAUAAAGACCAUUGCAAAAAUUCCUGCCCCGUUCUAUUCUUUCACCAGCAUCAAUGGGUGUUGUGCUGGAUCGAGCACCAAUGAGGUGGUCCUCUCACCUGUUCUGGCACUGCAUCAAAGAAUGCUACCAGAUUGUCAAAACAGUGGGUUCAAGCAUGCUUGCAGUAGCAGAGCAGGGCCAUCGACAGGUGCGGAGCAGGUCGCCAAGUUGUGCAGGAAAUCAGUGGGAGCGAACGCCUUUGAUAAAUUUGUUUUGUAGUAUACCGGAUCUGAAGAAUUAAAAUGUUCAAAUUUCAUAGCUCUUAAGUUUUGUAGACAAUGCAACCCAUUGCACUCUGCUAUGUGUCCAAAACUUAAAUUCCUAGCCCAAUUCAUAAUGCCAUGUUUCCAGUUUCAUAAUGUUACUGAUUGUUUUACAUAAUAAAUGGCAUUUGAGAAUA